GGAAAAUAUUUUAUCCCAAGUGGAAGAUUCCGGAUGCUUGCAAUGCAUCAUGGUAAUGUGUUUUGGAGAAGAACUUCCAAUUUACUUUUGAAAUUAAGUUGAGAAAUUUCAGGAAAAAAUAGUUUUAAAAUGAGUGGCGGGCUACCUAGGAGAAUUGUCAAGGUAAGAAAACAAUAAAUAAACUCUCGAAUAUCUGUAGUUUAAGUCUGGUGAAGCACAGGGCUUUUGUGUUAAUGUAACGCCGUGUUUUGUUUGUUUGAACUGCAGGAAACACAGAGACUGCUUGCGGAACCUGUUCCAGGGAUAAAAGCAACACCUCACGAAGAGAACGCUCGGUAUUUUGAUGUUUUUGUCGAUGGCCCCAAAGAGGUUGGUCUAAUGUUUGUGUAUGCGUGAUGCAACGUCCGGAAGUGUUAAAAAUUCACAGCAGAUAUGAUAUUAAAUGAAGCUAUCAAUGGAUUUAAUUGUCUAAAGUUUGUUUUGUGGAUUCUUGCCGUCAUUUUCAUCCAGUGUGAACAGUUACAGACAAAAAUAUUGUAG